AGUGAACGCUGGCGGCGUGCCUAAUACAUGCAAGUCGAACGGAGUGGCGCACGGGUGAGUAAUAUAUAGCUAAUCUGCCCCUUGCUGGAGGACAACAGUUAGAAAUGACUGCUAAUACUCCAUAGCAAGGGAUGAGACUAUAUCGUAUAAGCUAGUCGGUGGGGUAACGGCCUACCGAGGCGAUGAGGCGCAACUGGUCUAAGAGGAUGAUCACUCACAUUGGAACGGAGACACGGUCCAAACUCCUACGGGAAUCAGCAGAAGUGAAUAAUGCGCAAUGGGGGAAACCCUGACGCAGCAACGCCGCGUGGAGGAUGACACUUUUCGAAGAGUAAAGUCAUUUUGUUAGGGAAGCGGUACCUAACGAAUAAGCACCGGCUAACUCCGUGCCAGCAGCCGCGGUAAUUC
rnacentral:rRNA from 1 species